rnacentral:tRNA from 1 species
GUGUUUGUAGCUCAGUGGUAGAGCAGUUACUUAGAUUGAUCAGGCUGUAGGUUCAAUCCCCAACAUGGAAA